GAUGAACGCUGGCGGCGUGCUUAAUACAUGCAAGUCGAGCGAACAGACCAUGAGCUUGCUCCUCUGACGUUAGCGGCGGACGGGUGAGUAACGCGUGGAUAACCUACCUAUAAGACUGGGAUAACUUCGGGAAACCGGAGCUAAUACCGGAUAAUAUAUUGAACCGCAUGGUUCAAUAGUGAAAGACGGUUUUGCUGUCACUUAUAGAUGGUUCCGGGCCGCAUUAGCUAGUUGGUAAGGUAACGGCUUACCACGGCAACGAUGCGUAGCCGAAGUGAAAGGGUGGUUGGCGACAGGGGAACAUGACCACAUACCAUAGUUCUAAGGGAGGCAGCAGUAGGGAAUCUUACGCAACAGGGGGAAGCCUGACGUAGCAGGGCGGAGUGAGUGCUGAAGGUCCUCGGCGCCGAAAACUCUGUUAUUAGGGAAAAACAAAUGUGGAAUUGACUAAGCACGUCUUGACGGUACCUUAUCAGAAAGCCCCGGCUAACUACGUG
rnacentral:rRNA from 1 species